UCUGUCCGAGCGUCGGCUUAUAAACUAUCACUGCGCGUAAAAAGCAGUGGCUUGGAAGAUUGCCAGCUAACGCAGGCCGUGUAGUGUAAGGCGGUGGCGGCGGCGUUAGACAGCGAUGGCUUCUUCUUAAUGUGGCUUAGACGGCGGUGGCGGCGGCGGCGGCGAUGACGCUGUGCUCACGGUAGCAUUGCCGGUUGCCAGGCGAUGCGAGUUUGUGUGUUCGUUCCACCACCACCACCACCAAAUGUUGUGGAGUGCUGUUGAUGGUGUCAGUGGUGGAGCGCCGCUUGGCUUGGCAACGAUGAGUCCACAAGCCGUGGCUUAGUGUUUGUGCGUGCACGUAAUGUGGGCUCUAGACGGCAGGUAGGCGUGCGACGUGAUGUUGUUGGUCGUCGUCGUCGUUGUUGGUGCUGCUGCUGCUGCUGCUGCAGCUGCUUUGAUGUGGCCUAAUGUGUGCCUGACCUCGGUUCAGUCGUGAG
rnacentral:rRNA from 1 species